UACAGAGGUGGCAAGCGUUGUUCGGAAUUACUGGGCGUAAAGGGCGCGUAGGCGGCCAUCUAAGUCAGACGUGAAAUCCCCCGGCUUAACCUGGGAACUGCGUCUGAUACUGGAAGGCUUGAGUAUGGGAGAGGGAUGUAGAAUUCCAGGUGUAGCGGUGAAAUGCGUAGAUAUCUGGAGGAAUACCGGUGGCGAAGGCGGCAUCCUGGACAGAUACUGACACUGAGGCACGAAAGCGUGGGGAGCAAACAGG
rnacentral:rRNA from 1 species